rnacentral:rRNA from 1 species
AGAGUUUGAUCCUGGCUCAGAACGAACGCUGGCGGCAGGCUUAACACAUGCAAGUCGAACGAGAAUCUAGGGCUUGCCCUAGAGGACAGUGGCAGACGGGUGAGUAACGCGUGGGAAAUUACCUAGUGGUAUGGGAUAACGUUUGGAAACGAACGCUAAUACCGUAUACGCCCUUCGGGGGAAAGAUUUAUCGCCAUUAGAUGUGCCCGCGUUAGAUUAGCUAGUUGGUAAGGUAAUGGCUUACCAAGGCUCCGAUCUAUAGCUGGUCUGAGAGGAUGAUCAGCCACACUGGGACUGAGACACGGCCCAGACUCCUACGGGAGGCAGCAGUGGGGAAUAUUGCACAAUGGGCGCAAGCCUGAUGCAGCCAUGCCGCGUGAGUGAAGAAGGCCUUAGGGUUGUAAAACUCUUUCAGUGGUGAUGAUAAUGACAGUAGCCACAGAAGAAGCCCCGGCUAACUCCGUGCCAGCAGCCGCGGUAAUACGGAGGGGGCUAGCGUUGUUCGGAAUUACUGGGCGUAAAGCGCGCGUAGGCGGAUUGAUCGAGUCAGGGUGAAAAUCCGAGGCUCAACCUCGGAACUGCCUCUGAUACUGUCAGUCCUGAGUUCGAGAGAGGUGAGUGGAAUUCCUAGUGUAGAAGUGAAAAUCGUAGAUAUUAGGAAGAACACCCGUGGCCAAAGGCGGCUCACUGGCUCGAUACGGGGG